ACUCCUACGGGAGGCAGCAGUGGGGAAUAUUGCACAAUGGGCGCAAGCCUGAUGCAGCCAUGCCGCGUGUAUGAAGAAGGCCUUCGGGUUGUAAAGUACUUUCAGCAGUGAGGAAGGUGGGUAUGUUAAUAGCAUACUCAUUUGACGUUAGCUGCAGAAGAAGCACCGGCUAACUCCGUGCCAGCAGCCGCGGUAAUACGGAGGGUGCGAGCGUUAAUCGGAAUUACUGGGCGUAAAGCGCAUGCAGGUGGUUUGUUAAGUCAGAUGUGAAAGCCCGGGGCUCAACCUCGGAAUUGCAUUUGAAACUGGCAAACUAGAGUACUGGUAGAGGGGGGUAGAAUUUCAGGUGUAGCGGUGAAAUGCGUAGAGAUCUGAAGGAAUACCGGUGGCGAAGGCGGCCCCCUGGACAGAUACUGACACUCAGAUGCGAAAGCGUGGGGAGCAAACAGGAUUAGAUACCCUGGUAGGCUGAGC
rnacentral:rRNA from 1 species